GCCUUCGUGCCUCAAUUGGUACAGGAAGAACCUUGUAAGUUCUCAUUUGUCAGUUCGACUCUGACCGAAGGCU
rnacentral:tRNA from 1 species